GAUGAACGCUGGCGGCGUGCCUAAUACAUGCAAGUCGAGCGAACAGACGAGGAGUUCGCUCCUCUGACGUUAGCGGCGGACGGGUGAGUAAACCGUGGAUAACCUACCUAUAAGACUGGGAUAACUUCGGGAAACCGGAGCUAAUAUCGGAUAAUAUAUUGAACCGCAUGGUUCAAUAGUGAAAGACGGUUUUGAUGUCUCUUAUAGAUGGAUCCGGGCCGCCUUUGCUAGUUGGUAAGGUAACGGGUUACCAAGGCCACGAGGCCUAGCCGACCCGAGGGGAGGAUCGGCAACCGUGGAACAGAGACACGGUCCAGAAUCCUACGUGAGGCAGCAGUAGGGAAUCUUCCGGAAGGGGCGAAAGCCUGAAGGAGCAACGCCGCGUGAGUGAGGAAGGUCUUCGGAUCGUAAAACUCUGUUAUUAGGGAAGAACAAAUGUGUAAGUAACGAUGCGCGUCUUAACGUUACCGAAUCAGAAAGCCACGGCUAACUACGU
rnacentral:rRNA from 1 species